rnacentral:rRNA from 1 species
GAUGAACGCUGGCGGCGUGCCUAAUACAUGCAAGUCGAGCGAACAGACGAGGAGCUUGCUCCUCUGACGUUAGCGGCGGACGGGUGAGUAACACGUGGAUAACCUACCUAUAAGACUGGGAUAACUUCGGGAAACCGGAGCUAAUACCGGAUAAUAUAUUGAACCGCAUGGUUCAAUAGUGAAAGACGGUUUUGCUGUCACUUAUAGAUGGAUCCGCGCCGCAUUAGCUAGUUGGUAAGGUAACGGCUUACCAAGGCAACGAUGCGUAGCCGACCUGAGAGGGUGAUCGGCCACACUGGAACUGAGACACGGUCCAGACUCCUACGGGAAGCAGCAGUAGGGAAUCUUCCGCAAUGGGCGAAAGCUUGACGGAGCAACGCCGCGUGAGUGAUGAAGGUCUUCGGAUCGUAAAACUCUGUUAUUAGGGAAGAACAAAUGUGUAAGUAACUAUGCACAUCUUGACGGUACCUAAUCAGAAAGCCACGGCUAACUACGUG